CAUCGACAACCAAGUGACUGAGUGGGGGUAUGGGCAAGCACACGAUUCGCAUCCUUGCACUAGCAGCCCUAGUGUGUCUACAUCUCCUAUGCUCUGCUACUAUUGCUCAAUGCCGAACCAUGGCUGACACGGAUAGCGAGAAGAUCGAUUUACCACACGGGUUAUGCGUUGAAGUAGCUUAUGAAGAUUGUAGGUCAAGAAGUGGUUGCUUCCAUUGUUUAGUAACUGAUGUCUUCUACCCCACUAUGGAUGACUGUACGAGCAAGUGUAACACAUCAUCGUCUUCACAAGACAUUCUAGUGGCCAUGACUACGUCCCCUCCUCCUCCUUUACCCGCUCCUUAAUUUUUCAGCCUAGAUAGUCAAAUUGGCUUACAUAUGUACAAGAUUGUCCCCGAAAAAUAAUGUCUGAUGUGCGGAAAUGCAGUUAUGCAAUAAGAGUGAUGCUCUAGCA